rnacentral:rRNA from 1 species
GACAUAAAGUCAAGCAAGUAAGGGCGUACGGCGGAUGCCUUGGCCAUAUCAGCCGAUGAAGGACGCGAUAAGCUGCGAAA